rnacentral:rRNA from 1 species
GAGUUUGAUCCUGGCUCAGGACGAACGCUGGCGGCGUGCUUAACACAUGCAAGUCGAACGGAAAGGCCCCGCUUGCGGGGUACUCGAGUGGCGAACGGGUGAGUAACACGUGGGUGAUCUGCCCUGCACUUCGGGAUAAGCCUGGGAAACUGGGUCUAAUACCGGAUAGGACCCCUCUUUAGUGUGGGGGGUGGAAAGUUUUUUCGGUGUGGGAUGAGCCCGCGGCCUAUCAGCUUGUUGGUGGGGUAAUGGCCUACCAAGGCGUCGACGGGUAGCCGGCCUGAGAGGGUGGACGGCCACAUUGGGACUGAGAUACGGCCCAGACUCCUACGGGAGGCAGCAGUGGGGAAUAUUGCACAAUGGGCGGAAGCCUGAUGCAGCGACGCCGCGUGGGGGAUGACGGCCUUCGGGUUGUAAACCUCUUUCGCUAGGGACGAAGCUUUUGUGACGGUACCUAGAUAAGAAGCACCGGCUAACUACGUGCCAGCAGCCGCGGUAAUACGUAGGGUGCGAGCGUUGUCCGGAAUUACUGGGCGUAAAGAGCUCGUAGGUGGUUUGUCGCGUCGUCUGUGAAAUUCCGGGGCUUAACUUCGGGCGUGCAGGCGAUACGGGCAAUACUUGAGUGCUGUAGGGGAGACUGGAAUUCCUGGUGUAGCGGUGGAAUGCGCAGAUAUCAGGAGGAACACCGAUGGCGAAGGCAGGUCUCUGGGCAGUAACUGACGCUGAGGAGCGAAAGCAUGGGUAGCGAACAGGAUUAGAUACCCUGGUAGUCCAUGCCGUAAACGGUGGGCGCUAGGUGUAGGGGUCUUCCACGACUUCUGUGCCGUAGCUAACGCAUUAAGCGCCCCGCCUGGGGAGUACGGCCGCAAGGCUAAAACUCAAAGGAAUUGACGGGGGCCCGCACAAGCGGCGGAGCAUGUGGAUUAAUUCGAUGCAACGCGAAGAACCUUACCUGGGCUUGACAUACACCGGACCGGGCCAGAGAUGGUCUUUCCCUUGUGGCUGGUGUACAGGUGGUGCAUGGUUGUCGUCAGCUCGUGUCGUGAGAUGUUGGGUUAAGUCCCGCAACGAGCGCAACCCUUGUCUUAUGUUGCCAGCACGUAGUGGUGGGGACUCAUGAGAGACUGCCGGGGUCAACUCGGAGGAAGGUGGGGAUGACGUCAAAUCAUCAUGCCCCUUAUGUCCAGGGCUUCACACAUGCUACAAUGGUCGGUACAACGCGUUGCGACACUGUGAGGUGGAGCUAAUCGCUGAAAGCCGGCCUCAGUUCGGAUUGGGGUCUGCAACUCGACCCCAUGAAGUCGGAGUCGCUAGUAAUCGCAGAUCAGCAACGCUGCGGUGAAUACGUUCCCGGGACCUUGUACACACCGCCCGUC